rnacentral:rRNA from 1 species
UACGAAGGGGGCUAGCGUUGCUCGGAAUCACUGGGCGUAAAGGGUGCGUAGGCGGGUCUUUUAAGUCAGGGGUGAAAUCCUGGAGCUCAACUCCAGAACUGCCUUCGAUACUGGCGAUCUUGAGUCCGGAAGAGGUGAGUGGAACUCCUAGUGUAGAGGUGGAAUUCGUAGAUAUUAGGAAGAACACCAGUGGCGAAGGCGGCUCACUGGUCCGGUACUGACGCUGAGGUGCGAAAGCGUGGGGAGCAAACAGG